CACGUAGGGCGCAAGCGUUGUCCGGAAUUAUUGGGCGUAAAGAGCUCGUAGGCGGUCUGUUGCGUCCGCUGUGAAAACCCAGGGCUUAACCCUGGGCUGGCAGUGGAUACGGGCAGACUAGAGUGCGGUAGGGGAGAUUGGAAUUCCUGGUGUAGCGGUGGAAUGCGCAGAUAUCAGGAGGAACACCGAUGGCGAAGGCAGAUCUCUGGGCCGUAACUGACGCUGAGGAGCGAAAGCGUGGGGAGCGAACAGG
rnacentral:rRNA from 1 species